UACGUAGGGUGCAAGCGUUAAUCGGAAUUACUGGGCGUAAAGCGUGCGCAGGCGGUUAUGUAAGACAGGGGUGAAAUCCCAGGGCUUAACCUUGGAACUGCAUUUGUGACUGCAUCGCUGGAGUGCGGCAGAGGGGGAUGGAAUUCCGCGUGUAGCAGUGAAAUGCGUAGAUAUGCGGAGGAACACCGAUGGCGAAGGCAAUCCCCUGGGCCUGCACUGACGCUCAUGCACGAAAGCGUGGGGAGCAAACAGG
rnacentral:rRNA from 1 species